UACGUAGGGGGCUAGCGUUGUCCGGAAUCAUUGGGCGUAAAGAGCGCGUAGGCGGCUAGAUAAGUCCGGUGUGAAAGUCACAGGCUCAACCUGUGAAUGCCGCUGGAAACUGUCUGGCUAGAGUCCGGAAGGGGCGAGUGGAAUUCCUGGUGUAGCGGUGAAAUGCGUAGAUAUCAGGAAGAACACCGGUGGCGAAAGCGCUCUGCUAGGCCGCAACUGACACUGAGGGACGAAAGCUAGGGGAGCGAAUGGG
rnacentral:rRNA from 1 species